GCCCUCUUGGGCAGCACGUAUACUAAAACUGGAAUGAUACAGAGAGACUAGCAUGGCCCCUGCACAAGGAUAACAUGUAAAUUCAUAAAUCAUUCUCCAUUUAA